rnacentral:lncRNA from 1 species
CAAGUUCUUGGGAAAUGAAACCAACAUUGGAACUGGCAUGCUUGUAGGUUUUGAACUGGUCAGUGUGACCAGUCCUCCAGCCCACAGUGAAACUAUAUUAGGGGCAGUAGCAUUUAUAUCUAUAUCUAUAUACUGUAGUCACAUUUCAAUUUCUUUAGUUUCUUGGAAUUUCGUCUAUGGAUAUGCCAGGCUUGAUGCUGAGAUUGGUACUGCUGUGUCUUUUUGCUCUAAAAGUGACUGCACUUCAGCUCCAGUCCCCUCCAGCGCGGAGUCUCUCCAUGCCGUGCCGGUAUGAUUACGAGGCCCAGGGAAGCAUCCCCCAGCUCUCACUACAGUGGAGGAGCCCCAGCAAGCAGCUGCUCUGCCACUUCAUCAAACACAAAAACUACAGGAACUGCACAGCCGGCUACUCAGUGCUCUACAAGCCCGGGAACGUUACUCUAGUCAUAGAUGAAGUGAAGGAGGAGGAUUUCGGGAGGCACGUGUGCUCCAUCAGCAAACGCCACGAUUUCUCAG